rnacentral:rRNA from 1 species
UACGUAGGGGGCAAGCGUUAUCCGGAUUUACUGGGUGUAAAGGGAGCGUAGACGGUUAUGCAAGUCAGAAGUGAAAGCCCAAAGCUCAACUUCGGGACUGCUCUUGAAGCUGUGUAACUAGAGUGCAGGAGGGGUAAGCGGAAUUCCUAGUGUAGCGGUGAAAUGCGUAGAUAUUAGGAGGAACACCGGCGGCGAAGGCGGCUUACUGGACUGUAACUGACGUUGAGGCUCGAAAGCGUGGGGAGCAAACAGG